AAGCAGCGCCGGCUGGGUUCGACCGCGAACCGCAGCGGCGCCGCGCGCGGCC
rnacentral:sRNA from 1 species